GACGAACGCUGGCGGCGUGCUUAACACAUGCAAGUCGAACGGAAAGGCCUCAGCUUGCUGGGGUACUCGAGUGGCGAACGGGUGAGUAACACGUGGGUGAUCUGCCUUGCACUCUGGGAUAAGUUUGGGAAACUGGGGCUAAUACCGGAUAUGAACUGCCUUUGGUGUGGUGGUUGGAGAGUUUUUUCGGUGCAAGGUGAGCUCGCGGCCUAUCAGCUUGUUGGUGGGGUAAUGGCCUAACAAGGCGUCGACGGGUAGCCGGCCUGAGAGGGUGUACGGCCACCUUGGGACUGGGGUACGGCCCAGACUCCUACGGGGGGGAACAGGGGGGAAUAUUGCACAAUGGGCGGAAGCCUGAUGCAACGAAGCCGCGUGGGGGAUGACGGCCUUCGGGUUGUAAACCCCUUUCGACAGGGACGAAGCUGUUUGUGACGGUACCUGUAUAAGAAGCACCGGCUAACUACGUG
rnacentral:rRNA from 1 species